rnacentral:misc_RNA from 1 species
CAAACAUCUGCUGGGGAUAUUUCUGAAUGCCUGCAUUAGCAUAAUGAAUUCCUCUUGACAUUGCUUGGUGCUGUGAUAAAGAAUUCCUCCAGUUCAUUUCUGAUGCAUGAAGGCCAUCCAUAUGUGGCCCUAUUUGCUGCUGUUGAAUUCCAUCAGGACCCACUUAAGCCUUGCUCUCUUAUUAAAAUUGGAUAAGGGUGACAUUUGCCCAUCUUGAUUGUCCCUCUUACCAUGAAGAGAAAUACCAGAAUUCAUAUUGUUGCCAUAUGAGAUCAUAAUGUCCUGCCCAGUAGGGGAAGCUCCUGAAAUAUUAACAAGAGACCCUGACCCUUGCUCCUGCGUACUUCUUGGGGUGCCCACCACCAUCUGAUAUCUUGGUUGUUGUGAUACCAAAGGUAAUGCUGGAACAUUGCCAUCAGAUCCAAAGCUUCUUGCUCCUAGGGCCAACAUGUUGAUUGGAGCAAAGUUUUGCACUGCCAGAUUCUCUGGGACACUCUGUGGCAUCAAAUUGCCAGAAACAAUUACAGAAUCUCC